UUUAUUGAAAAAGUACCCCCAAAAUGCUAUAUUAAAAGUGCCGGCUUGCCGGCUAUGACGCUAAACCCCAUGCGGAAUAGGCGUAGUGGACCCGGGGGCAGUGCCCGGCGGCUCCACCAAAAUGCGUCAAUCGACGUGUUUUGGCGGGGCCGAAACAGGAUCGACACGCGCAAUAAAGGUUUGGGCUGUUUCCGUACAGGUACCAGUCGUUAUCUGGCCAUUUUAUAAAUGCAAACGAUAACUCUAUGUUCGUUGCUGCUAAUGACAACCGCGAGGUUGCUUUCGCAGCUGCAGCCUAAUUUAUUAGGUUGUAAAGCAUCAAAUCCCUAGGGCUUGAACUCCCUAGGUGGGGCGUGGGGCGGCCUCGCAACAGAACUGCCCCGCU
rnacentral:tmRNA from 1 species